rnacentral:rRNA from 1 species
AAGCUCGUAGUUGAAUUUCGGGAUCGAAUUGUUGGUCGUGCUUCGGUACGCACUGGCAUUAUCGGUUCCUACCUUCUGAAGAACCGCGAUGUCAUUAAUUUGGUGUCGUGGGGAAUCAGGACUGUUACUUUGAAAAAAUUGAGUGUUUAAAGCAGGCUUACGCUUGAAUACAUUAGCAUGGAAUAAUGAAAUAGGACGUUUGAUUCUAUUUUGUUGGUUUCUAGGAUCGACGUAAUGAUUAAUAGGGAUAGUUGGG